rnacentral:tRNA from 1 species
UCUCUGGUAGUAUAUCGGAUAGUACAUCCGCCUGUCAUGCAUUCCCAGUGACGCGGAAGAGCGGGGUUCGACUCCCCGCCAGAGAG